CCUGCGGAGGANCAUUAUCGUACAACUGAGGUGCGAGGGCUGUCGCUGACCUUCAAAGGUUGUGCACGCUCAAGCACUCUCUUACUUCCUUUUCAUCUUUGUGAAUCACCGCGUGGGUCCCCUUUGCAAAGGAGGGCUUGCGUUUUCACAUAAAACUUGAUACAGUGUAGAAUGUUUUAUUUGCGGUCACACGCAAUCAAUACAACUUUCAACAACGGAUCUCUUGGCUCUCGCAUCGAUGAAGAACGCAGCGAAAUGCGAUACGUAAUGUGAAUUGCAGAAUUCAGUGAAUCAUCGAAUCUUUGAACGCACCUUGCGCCCCUUGGCAUUCCGAGGGGCACACCCGUUUGAGUGUCGUGAAAUCAUCAAAAACCUUUCUCUUUGAUCGUCUUUGGUUGGGAGAAGGAUGUUUUUGGACUUGGAGGUUCCAUGCUUGCUUUCACUUUUGAAAAUGAGCUCCUCUUAAAUGAAUUAGUGGGGUCUGCUUUGCUGGUCCUUGACGUGAUAAGAUGUUUCUACGUUUUGGAUUUAGCACUGUCCCUUGGAUGCCCGCUCCUAACUGUCUCACAGACAAUGAUGGUGCUCUGGUCACCGCCAUCUACAUUGGUGGAGGAGGCUGGACCCACAAAAGAAAAAACCUUGACCUCAAAUCGGGUGAGACUACCCGCUGAACUUAAGCAUAUCAAUAAGCGGAGGAAAAGAAACUAACAAGGAUUCCCCUAGUAACUGCGAGUGAAGCGGGAAAAGCUCAAAUUUAAAAUCUGGUGGUCUUUGGCCAUCCGAGUUGUAAUUUAGAGAAGCGUCUUCCGCGCUGGACCGUGCACAAGUCUCCUGGAAUGGAGCGUCAUAGAGGGUGAGAAUCCCGUCUUUGGCACGGACACACCAGGCUUCUGUGAUGCNCUCUCGAGAGUCGAGUUGUUUGGGAAUGCAGCUCAAAUGGGUGGUGACUCCAUCUAAAGCUAAUA
rnacentral:rRNA from 1 species